UACAGAGGUCUCAAGCGUUGUUCGGAUUCAUUGGGCGUAAAGGGUGCGUAGGCGGCGCGGUAAGUCGGGUGUGAAAUCUCGGAGCUUAACUCCGAAACUGCAUUCGAUACUGCCGUGCUUGAGGACUGGAGAGGAGACUGGAAUUUACGGUGUAGCGGUGAAAUGCGUAGAUAUCGUAAGGAAGACCAGUGGCGAAGGCGGGUCUCUGGACAGUUCCUGACGCUGAGGCACGAAGGCCAGGGGAGCAAACGGGG
rnacentral:rRNA from 1 species